ACACACAACCCUUGGUUUUGGCAUCUCAACCUAAUCCUUAUCUCAGCCCCCCAACAUCCCUUGCAACUCAUGUUUAAAUAGGAUAAAGGGAAGUUAGAGAUUGGAUAGGAAACAAGAGUCCAAAACACCUAGGACUCUAGAAUUUUUUAUGCCGCCAACCCUCCAAAUUUUUUGCCCAAAUUUUACAUGAUAAUAUGGG
rnacentral:lncRNA from 1 species